UUCCCAGCGGUCAAGCUUUCAUGCGUUUCACCUCGUUUCAUCCCCUUCCAACCCUCGUUGGCCUAUACUUUUGCGUGUCAACACAAGCUAUCUCGGUUUUUUCGUUCGUCAAGCAUGUUCUUGUCUCGCUCUUUUCACACUUUGCCGAAGUUCGACGUGCUCCGCGUUGUGUAUUUACACACCGAGCUCAUGGGAUAUCUUUGUGUGUGUAGAAACCCAUUUUGACAGCACCGUCAUUCUUUAGCCGUCAUAUUUUGUUUUGCUUUCGAAGUGCAAGUUUUGGUUAGUUUAUUGCAUAGAAUAGGGAGAUAAAAUGGUUAUAAAAGGAUAAAAAUGGCUUCGAAUCGAAAGAGCACGCGUUUUUCAAGUGACUGGAUAGUUUAGUUAGGGAUAUGGAGUGAAAAAACGCAUGGAAAUAGGGAUGAUGCUUGACCAGCGUGCCUCCGGAACAAAGUGGUGCUGAAACUGUUUCAUGGCUGCUGCGAGUCUGGUACAUCCGAAACAAUUUAUUGGCACGGUCCGCAGGAAACCAAACAGCAAACACAGUGUACAAAGUACCAUGCAGAGAGGACAAAAUUUUACACCACAUAAACCAACACAUUUGCCACAUUUUCCAGCAAGUGAAGUGUAAGCGAGAAAUUUGUGAAAAAAAAUAGAAAAAUUAAACAAAAAAACAUUUCAUGUUUUGUCCUUUUUAAUUGAUGACAACUUUCCAUUAUGCAUAGCCAAUAACGCACCCAUACCUACGAGGCUACCGCGCUACACACUCACACAUGCGCAAAAAAGCUCUUCGUUAAGCGGGCUUCAGACGGGCUUCACCCGGGCUUCAGAUUGACGUCGUGAACCCCGUCUGAAGCCCGCUUAACGAAGAAUUUGACCGCUGG